rnacentral:rRNA from 1 species
GACGAACGCUGGCGGCGUGCUUAACACAUGCAAGUCGAACGGAAAGGCCCUGCUUGCAGGGUACUCGAGUGGCGAACGGGUGAGUAACACGUGGGUGAUCUGCCCUGCACUUCGGGAUAAGCCUGGGAAACUGGGUCUAAUACCGGAUAGGAGCCAUUUUUAGUGUGAUGGUUGGAAAGUUUUUUCGGUGUAGGAUGAGCUCGCGGCCUAUCAGCUUGUUGGUGGGGUAAUGGCCUACCAAGGCGGCGACGGGUAGCCGGCCUGAGAGGGUGGACGGCCACAUUGGGACUGAGAUACGGCCCAGACUCCUACGGGAGGCAGCAGUGGGGAAUAUUGCACAAUGGGCGCAAGCCUGAUGCAGCGACGCCGCGUGGGGGAUGACGGCCUUCGGAUUGUAAACUCCUUUCGCUAGGGACGAAGCUUUUUGUGACGGUACCUAGAUAAGAAGCACCGGCUAACUACGUG